GGUUGUAUGGAGUAGUUGGUUAACUUAGGAGAUUCUGAUCUGUGUCCUGCAGCAGCAGGAUGUGAUACGACUUUCUCUUGCCCUGGGUUCGAAUCCCAGUACGACCU